rfam:Schistosoma rodhaini strain Burundi genome assembly, scaffold: SROB_scaffold0001066
AUCCAUCUGACGAGUCCCAAAUAGGAGGAAACGCGCGUUCUGGAU